UACAGAGGUCCGAGCGUUGUUCGGAUUUAUUGGGCGUAAAGGGUGCGUAGGCGGCGGAGUAAGUUGGGUGUGAAAUCCGGGCUUAACCUCGGAAUUGCAUUCAAUACUGCUUCGCUUGAGUACUGGAGAGGAGGCUGGAAUUACGGUGUAGCAGUGAAAUGCGUAGAUAUCGUAAGGAAGGCCGGUGGCGAAAGCGAGCCUCUGGACAGUUACUGACGCUGAUGCACGAAGGCCAAGGGAGCAAACGGG
rnacentral:rRNA from 1 species